UUCAUGGUCAUCACAGGAGUUAAACGCUAAAAUCGACACCACAACAUUUAUUACUGUCAUCAUGUAAGUGACUCUUGGCUAUCAUGCGUUCUCAGAAAAGGAGUGUGCCGAAAUGUAAUCAUGAUAAAACACCAGUGCUGCAGCUAUCCAUUAGGCAAUCUGGAGGCAGAGGUCGGGUGGAGGCCGUACAGCACAGUAAUCAUGCUCUGCAGUGCGGCCCUGCCCUCCCCUCGUACGUCAGCAUUUAGACUGCUGUGGCAAGGUCCCAGACGUAACUGAACACAAGAGGGCUCCUCUUCUUGAAGUCCUGGAGCAAAGCCUUAAUUUUUGGAGAAACAGAAACCAUUAGAGACAAUAGUGAAUACCCCCCUCCCUCUC